UACGAAGGGGGCUAGCGUUGCUCGGAAUCACUGGGCGUAAAGCGCACGUAGGCGGAUUGUUAAGUCAGGGGUGAAAUCCUGGAGCUCAACUCCAGAACUGCCUUUGAUACUGGCGAUCUCGAGUCCGGGAGAGGUGAGUGGAACUGCGAGUGUGGAGGUGAAAUUCGUAGAUAUUCGCAAGAACACCAGUGGCGAAGGCGGCUCACUGGCCCGGUACUGACGCUGAGGUGCGAAAGCGUGGGGAGCAAACAGG
rnacentral:rRNA from 1 species